UAGAGGAAGUAAAAGUCGUAACAAGGUUUCCGUAGGUGAACCUGCGGAAGGAUCAUUAUUGAAUAAACCUGGCUUGCUGAUGCUGGUCUCCUCGGAGGCAUGUGCUCGUUUGCCUUCUUUAUAUCUCCACCUGUGCACUCUMUGUAGAACUGGGAGCAACAUUGUCUGAGGCAACUCAGGAAAUGGGACUGCUGUGCCACCCGUGCCAGCUUUCCUUGYGCUCUCCAGGGCUACGUUUUUCACAUACCCCAAURAAAUGUAACAGAAUGUAUCACUGGGUCUUUGUACCUAUAAAACAAAUAUACAACUUUCAGCAACGGAUCUCUUGGCUCUCGCAUCGAUGAAGAACGCAGCGAAAUGCGAUAAGUAAUGUGAAUUGCAGAAUUCAGUGAAUCAUCGAAUCUUUGAACGCAACUUGCGCUCCUUGGUAUUCCGAGGAGCAUGCCUGUUUGAGUGUCAUUAAUUUCUCAACCUUACCAGCUUUCGCRAAGUGAGGCUUGGAUGUGGGGGUAUUUGCUGGCUUCUAGCGAGGUCAGCUCCCCUGAAAUGCAUUAGCGGUGCCCUUGUGGACCCGACUAUCAGUGUGAUAACUAUCUACGCUGUUGGUUGACCACGCCUUUAUUGGGUUGUGCUGCUUCAAAUCGUCUUCGGACAACUACUUGACAAUUUUGACCUCAAAUCAGGUAGGACUACCCGCUGAACUUAAGCAU
rnacentral:rRNA from 1 species